CAGUCGCCACGGGAAUACGUAGGUGGCAAGCGUUGUCCGGAAUUAUUGGGCGUAAAGGGCUCGCAGGCGGUUUGUCGCGUCUGCCGUGAAAGUCCGGGGCUCAACCCCGGAUCUGCGGUGGGUACGGGCAGACUAGAGUGAUGUAGGGGAGACUGGAAUUCCUGGUGUAGCGGUGAAAUGCGCAGAUAUCAGGAGGAACACCGAUGGCGAAGGCAGGUCUCUGGGCAUUAACUGACGCUGAGGAGCGAAAGCAUGGGGAGCGAACAGGAUUAGAUACCCCCGUAGUCCCUGUCUCUUAUAC
rnacentral:rRNA from 1 species